rnacentral:lncRNA from 1 species
UCCUCUACUUUAGCUCAAUUUCAUUUACACCCUCUGUACUUUAAAAAAUGUCAAACUAGCCCUUCUAGUUAUCGAUAUAUUCCGAUAUAAUUCAGCCGUCUAUUUCUGUUAAUAAAAUUUUUUAAAAUAACAAAAAUAUCCAUCUUCUUCUUUCCUCCUAUUUUAUGACCGGUGUCUCUCUUUCUCCCACUUCCUUCCUUCUUUCUCUUUCUCCCC